rnacentral:rRNA from 1 species
AGCGAACGCUGGCGGCAGGCCUAACACAUGCAAGUCGAGCGCCCCGCAAGGGGAGCGGCAGACGGGAGAGUAACACGUGGGAACGUGCCCUUUGGUUCGGAACAACCCAGGGAAACUUGGGCUAAUACCGGAUAAGUCCGUAAGGAGAAAGAUUUAUCGCCAAAGGAGCGGCCCGCGUCUGAUUAGCUAGUUGGUGAGGUAACGGCUCACCAAGGCGACGAUCAGUAGCUGGUCUGAGAGGGUGAUCAGCCUCACUGGGACUGAGACGCGGCCCAGACUCCUACGGGAGGCAGCAGUGGGGAAUAUUGGACAAUGGGCGCAAGCCUGAUCCAGCCAUGCCGCGUGGGUGAUGAAGGCCCUAGGGUUGUAAAGCCCUUUCGGCGGGGAAGAUAAUGACGGUACCCGCAGAAGAAGCCCCGGCUAACUUCGUGCCAGCCGCCGCAGUAACAC